UACGUAGAAGACUAGUGUUAUUCAUCUUUAAUAGGUUUAAAGGGUACCUAGACGGUAUAAUUAGUCUAAAAUAAGAUACGGUUAUACUAGAGUUAUAUAUGAGGAGGUGAGUAUUUAUGGAGUAGAGUUGAAAAUUCUGUCAUCCCAUAACGACUGGUAACGGCGAAAGCAACCUUUUAUCUAAUAACUGACGUUGAGGGACGAAGGCUCGGGUAACGAACAGG
rnacentral:rRNA from 1 species